ensembl:lncRNA
AAUAAAGAGAGAAACAGUUAUAAAUAAGAAUAUAAUAAAUAAUAAUAAUACUUAAUAAUCAUUGAAAGAUAUGUCCAUAAAUGGGCAUGUUCUCCUAUGGACAGAGAGCCACAGAAAUAAAACAGACAGAUGACUCAAGAGACCCAGAGGUGUGCUUCACCUCGUAUGUUUUCACAGGCAAGGUUUCCGAAACAGAAUCUCAAUCGCAAAUAGCAUAUUUAAAUUAUGGAUUGCAGUGUGCCUGUCAGAAGACACAAGCUGCGCACCUUCUGCCGUGACUCUUGCAGCGUAGGCAUGCAUGUGACUUGGCCUGCCCUGCCUGUCUUUGCACUGGCAUCCGCAGAAGGGUCCAGGCAGGGUCAGAUGACACAGCCACACAUUUAAAGGGAAAGCGGGCGAUCCGGGAAGGAUUAACAACAGAGCAGAAGCCACCGCAGGGGAAGUGGAUGGUGGCUUUGGAAGGGGGAAAGAUGCAUAUUCAGGAAAAAGCAGGAACUGCCAUCUUAAACGGUUUGGUUUAUAUCUGCAAGAAAAGAAAGGCAAUUGAAAUGUGGGCAUGCCUCAGGUUUGGUGUGCCGGGAGAAGCUUGUCCCUGUUUCCAUGACAACAUUGAUCAGGAAAAACUGAGCUUGUGGCAAAGAUGCUGAAUUGGAGCAGCUUCUGAGUUGGAGUGAACAAGGAGGCCUGAAGGACUGAGAAAAUGAGACAAUAACGUCACGUCUCCCUCGUAAGCACCCCUCUCUGGCCGCAUUUAGGAAGUGCUGCAACAACAUCAUCUCUCUUGCUCUGUGGUUUCCUUUCAGCUUCCUGAGAGCUUGGAAGGAAGGAGCACCCUGCCCAUAUGUGGAGAAAUGUAUACCACCCUAAGUACUCAAAAGCAUGAAGAUAAAAUUAUGCAAUUGUCAACAGAACACGUUCUGCAAAAUAUGUGAGUGUUGUUUUUUUUAAGGAUCUGGAAUAUUGGUUCCAGUUCUCUCAACAUCAAUACUGAGGCAGGGAGCUAUUGUAAAUGUUAAAAAAAAUGCUAAAUUGGACAAUUGACACUACCUCAGGUUUUGUGGAUCUUUGAAGUGGAUCACUGUGGCGCAAUCCAUAACAAAAAAAUUUUUGUCCUCCCACCGCAUGCCUUAGAAGCAAAGUCAGAGCUGUUCUCAGGAAUGCGAUUUGGAAAGCUGUUGAAUGGGAGGGGAAUUUUUUUUUUUUACUUUUGAAAUUGAGUUUCUGAAUGUUGCUGGAGUAUUCAGAAGCAAUCAGUCUGCAUAGCCUACAAUAAUUCUAUAGUGUAUCUAGAACAUUAUUGAAUGCUUUCUCUCAAUCAGGUCCAGCUAUUAGGGAGAUGAAGGAGGCUUCCUCAGGCAGCAGCUUCUGGUCCAGUUAAAGCCCAUAAGUUUAGUGGUUGAAUGUAUUAUGAUACUUUUAUAGCUGGGCUGGGGAUUUUAUUCUGAGCUGCACAGGCCGAAAUGCCUUAGCCUGCCUCUGCUAGAGAUGAGCUCAAGCAAAAUAUUCCUGCAUUGCAGGAGGCUGGACUAGAUGACCCCUGGGGUUCCUUCCAACUCUACAAUUCUAGGAUUCUGUGCCAGAAAGGCAAAUACGAUACAUAAACUGCAGAAUCAAAGCAGCUGCAAAUUUGCUGGUUUCAUCUCCCCUUAGUUUUAACAAUCUUUGAUUAAUCAUCCUUUAUCUCUUUUAUGGUGGCCCCAAUGCCAAAGGAAUGACAAAAUUAGGACUACCAAAAUUGCACAACACGGGGAGCAACCUUUUGAGUUUUCCAGGGGCAAAAAAUAAUUAUUAUUAAUGAAAAUGGAUUCAUGCUAAAUCAGAUGCUGAGACCAUUUUAAUAGUAUCAGUUCCGUAAUAGCAAUCCCUUAGUGCUCAGGAACUGUGGGACCACUGGCCCGGCCUAAUUGUGGAACGUGUUAAUUUCUUCCCGGCUUUUUCUCUGAUUCUCUCCCUC